rnacentral:misc_RNA from 1 species
GUAGGUGAACCUGCGGAAGGAUCAUUACCGUGGGGAUUCGUCCCCAUUGAGAUAGCACCCUUUGUUUAUGAGUACCCUUGUUUCCUCGGCGGGCUUGCCCGCCAGUAGGACAUCAAAACCCUUUGCAGUAGCAGUAACCUCAGUUAAAAAUAAAUAUUAAAACUUUCAACAACGGAUCUCUUGGUUCUG